rnacentral:rRNA from 1 species
UACGUAGGGUCCGAGCGUUAAUCGGAAUUACUGGGCGUAAAGCGUGCGCAGGCGGUUUUGUAAGCCAGAUGUGAAAUCCCCGGGCUUAACCUGGGAACUGCAUUUGGGACUGCAAGGCUCGAGUACGGCAGAGGGAGGUGGAAUUCCACGUGUAGCAGUGAAAUGCGUAGAGAUGUGGAGGAACACCGAUGGCGAAGGCAGCCUCCUGGGCCAGUACUGACGCUCAUGCACGAAAGCGUGGGGAGCAAACAG